UACGAAGGGGGCUAGCGUUGUUCGGAAUUACUGGGCGUAAAGCGCACGUAGGCGGACCAUUAAGUCAGGGGUGAAAUCCCAGAGCUCAACUCCGGAACUGCCUUUGAUACUGGUGGUCUAGAGACCGAGAGAGGUAAGUGGAACUCCUAGUGUAGAGGUGGAACUCGUAGAUAUUAGGAAGAACACCAGUGGCGAAGGCGGCUUACUGGCUCGGAACUGACGCUGAGGUGCGAAAGCGUGGGGAGCAAAC
rnacentral:rRNA from 1 species